CCUACGGGAGGCAGCAGUGGGGAAUAUUGGACAAUGGGGGGAACCCUGAUCCAGCGACGCCGCGUGAGUGCAGAAGUCUUUCGGUAUGUAAAGCUCUAUCAGCAGGGAAGAAAGGAAUGACGGUACCUGACUAAGAAGCUCCGGGUAACUACGUACCAGCCGCCGCGGUAAUACGUAGGGGGCAAGCGUUAUACGGAUUUACUGGGUGAAAAGGGAGCGUAGACGGUUACGCAAGCCUGGGGGGUAAGGCGGGGGCCCAACCCCGGCGAGCCGUUGAAACUGGCUGUCUUGAGAUGUCGAGAGGUAUGCGGAAUGCGCAGUGUAGCGGUGAAAUGCUUAGAUAUUGCGCAGAACUCCGAUUGCGAAGGCAGCAUACCGGCGGCGAACUGACGCUGAGGCACGAAAGCGUGGGUAUCGAACAGGAUUAGAUACCCCUGUAGUC
rnacentral:rRNA from 1 species